UAUAACAAUGUAGUUAAGGGAAGUUGGCAAAAAAGAUCCGUAACUUCGGGAUAAGGAUUGGCUCUAAGGGCUGGGUCGGUCAGGCUGGGGUGCGAAGCGGGGCUGGGCUCGAGCCGCGGCUGUGGGAGCAGUCGCUCCAUCGUCCUCCGCUUGCAACCACUGGAAGUUCGUUGUGAAGCCCAUCUCGCGGUCUCUCGUGCGUGGUCUCGCAAGGGGCUGUGUGCAGGGGUUCAUCGGGGUGGUGUCCGUCGGCGGGCCGAAGGCAGACUGGUGGGGGAGGGGGGGGGUUGGGUCCGGCGGCGGCAACUCUGGACACGCGCCGGAACCUUCUCGCGGAUCUCCCCAGCUACGGCGCUCGCCGGGGAGGUCUCCUCUACGCUCACUAGACUUGAGGCGGAGACUAAACCCAUUGGCCCCGCAGUGAUAGGGCGUUGCAUGGAUCUGUCUCAUGCCCUACGAAGUGGGGAGAGGUAUCUCCAGCUUGUCUGGGGAGGGAGGCCUACAUCUAAUGUGGGUAGUACCAUUCACGGCCAUUGAUUUGCUGCGGAACCAUAAAACGGACGGAAGAAGCCUAGGUUCCAACUGGGCACGGAUCACUGAAUGUCAACUUGAUGAAAUUUAACGGUGCGUACCCACCUGCCGCGGUCACACUCAAAUCACCCGUGGGGUGACUGUGACCCCCUCAUGUCAAAGUGAGGAAAAGGGAUGAUUAUUUUCUGUUGCUUCUUCUGGCACCCGGUCGAUGGUGCCGCUAGAUACGGCAUUGGGUAUUUGGUUCUCAAGCCUAUAACUAUUGCGCUGGCACUUGAUAUCGAUUGGGUGUAAAAACACAGUUAAAGUCUGCUGAAGGUUAGUAGCAUCAACUGAUGUCCAGUUUGUAAGACAGCAAAGCCUCUGAUGAUACCACCGGCGUGACUCAAAUGGAUGUCAAUUUGAUAAUAUCUGACCGUAGCAUGCUACCCUUCGCGGUCGCACUCAAACCACCUUCGGCGUGGCUGUGACCCCCUCAUGUCAAAGUGAGGAAAUUCGAUGAAGCUGGGGUAAAUGGCGGGAGAUAAUUAAGAGUCUCUUGAGGCAUCCAAAUUCAUCGUCAUCUAAUUAGUGACGAGCAUGAAUGGAUGAAUGAGAUUCCCACUGUCCCUACCUACCAUCUGGUGAAAUCACAGCCAAGGGAACGGGUUUGACGGAAUCAGCGGGGAAAGAAGACCCUGUUGAGCUUGCUGCCCCUCUCCUGAUGCACACCGCAUGUUUUUGGGGAACCUGGUGCUAAAUCACUCGUAGACAACCUGAUUCUGGGUCAAGGUUUUGUACGUAGCAGAGCAGCUCAUUCGCUGCAAUCUAUUGAAAGUCAGCCCUUGAUCCAAGCUUUU
rfam:Salmo salar isolate Sally breed double haploid chromosome ssa01, whole genome shotgun sequence.